rnacentral:rRNA from 1 species
GAUGAACGCUGGCGGCGUGCCUAAUACAUGCAAGUCGAGCGAACGGACGAGAAGCUUGCUUCUCUGAUGUUAGCGGCGGACGGGUGAGUAACACGUGGAUUACCUACCUAUAAGACUGGGAUAACUUCGGGAAACCGGAGCUAAUACCGGAUGAUAUUUUGAACCGCAUGGUUCAAAAGUGAAAGACGGUCUUGCUGUCACUUAUAGAUGGAUCCGCGCUGCAUUAGCUAGUUGGUAAGGUAACGGCUUACCAAGGCAACGAUGCAUAGCCGACCUGAGAGGGUGAUCGGCCACACUGGAACUGAGACACGGUCCAGACUCCUACGGGAGGCAGCAGUAGGGAAUCUUCCGCAAUGGGCGAAAGCCUGACGGAGCAACGCCGCGUGAGUGAUGAAGGUCUUCGGAUCGUAAAACUCUGUUAUUAGGGAAGAACAUAUGUGUAAGUAACCGUGGCCAUCUUGACGGUACCUAAUCAGAAAGCCACGGCUAACUACGUG